rnacentral:rRNA from 1 species
UACGUAGGGUCCGAGCGUUGUCCGGAAUUACUGGGCGUAAAGAGCUCGUAGGUGGUUUGUCGCGUUGUUCGUGAAAACUCACAGCUCAACUGUGGGCGUGCGGGCGAUACGGGCAGACUGGAGUACUGCAGGGGAGACUGGAAUUCCUGGUGUAGCGGUGGAAUGCGCAGAUAUCAGGAGGAACACCGAUGGCGAAGGCAGUGAUCUGGGCCAGUACUGACGCUGAGGAGCGAAAGCGUGGGUAGCAAACAGG